rnacentral:rRNA from 1 species
GUACCUGCGGAGGGAUCAUUACCGAGUUAUACAACUCAUCAACCCUGUGAACAUACCUAAAACGUUGCCUCGGCGGGAACAGACGGCCCCGUAACACGGGCCGCCCCCGCCAGAGGACCCCCUAACUCUGUUUCUAUAAUGUUUCUUCUGAGUAAACAAGCAAAUAAAUUAAAACUUUCAACAACGGAUCUCUUGGCUCUGGCAUCGAUGAAGAACGCAGCGAAAUGCGAUAAGUAAUGUGAAUUGCAGAAUUCAGUGAAUCAUCGAAUCUUUGAACGCACAUUGCGCCCGCCAGUAUUCUGGCGGGCAUGCCUGUUCGAGCGUCAUUACAACCCUCAGGCCCCCGGGCCUGGCGUUGGGGAUCGGCGGAAGCCCCCUGCGGGCACAACGCCGUCCCCCAAAUACAGUGGCGGUCCCGCCGCAGCUUCCAUUGCGUAGUAGCUAACACCUCGCAACUGGAGAGCGGCGCGGCCACGCCGUAAAACACCCAACUUCUGAAUGUUGACCUCGAAUCAGGUAGGAAUACCCGCUGAACUUAAGCAUAU